GACAGAGCCUGGUCUCUUCAGCGGCGAAAAAUACGCUGCGGCAAAGCAUGGCAGCGUGGCCAGCAAAGUGGAAAAGAUUUAUCGAGAGAGCGUUGGCCAGUUAGAGGAUCGAAGGAAGAGAAGAUCAGCGCGCAGAGCGGAGCAGAACGGAGCAGAGCGGAGCGCGGAGCAGCGCGAUUCGGGCCACCCAUCCAGCUGAUUGCACACCGAUAAACGCAUUAUUUAAUUACCGAGGAAUCUUGAACAAAAGCGAAUGAUCCGGCGAGCAUGGAGCAAUUUUGAUGGAAAGUGUCGCGAUAAAUCGAGCAUCGAUUCCGAUGCGCAAAAUUUGCAAUUAAGUGCUUUCUUAUUUUGACUUAUUCUAUAGCACGUUUACUAUUAUUGCACAUGUAUCAUUUUCCAGGAGGAAUCUUGAACAAAAGCGAAUGAUCCGGCGAGCAUAGAGCAAUUUUGAUGGAAAGUGUCGCGACAAAUCGAGCAUCGAUUCCGAUGCGCAAAAUUUGCAAUUAAGUGCCAUGUACCAUUUUCCAGGAGGAAUCUUGAACAAAAGCGAAUGAUCCGGCGAGCAUGGAGCAAUUUUGAUGGAAAGUGUCGCGAUAAAUCGAGCAUCGAUUCCGAUGCGCAAAAUUUGCAAUUAAGUGCCAUGUACCAUUUUCCAGGAGGAAUCUUGAACAAAAGCGAAUGAUCCGGCGAGCAUGGAGCAAUUUUGAUGGAAAGUGUCGCGAUAAAUCGAGCAUCGAUUCCGAUGCGCAAAAUUUGCAAUUAAGUGCCAUGUACCAUUUUCCAGGAGGAAUCUUGAAUAAAAGCGAAUGAUCCGGCGAG